rnacentral:misc_RNA from 1 species
GAUGAAGAACGUAGCGAAAUGCGAUAAGUAAUGUGAAUUGCAGAAUUCAGUGAAUCAUCGAAUCUUUGAACGCACAUUGCGCCCGCCAGUAUUCUGGCGGGCAUGCCUGUUCGAGCGUCAUUACAACCCUCAGGCCCCGCCUGGCGUUGGGGAUCGGCGCGGCCCUCUCCGGGCUGCCGGCCCCGAAAACUAGUGGCGGUCUCGCUGUAGUCCUCCUCUGCGCAGUAGCAACGCUCGCACUGGAACUCGGCGCGGCCACGCCGUAAAACACCCCACUUCUGAAAGUUGACCUCGGAUCAGGUAGGAAUACCCGCUGAACUUAAGCAUAUCAAUAAGCGGAGGA